CCACAAAUGAAGAGGAACAAAAUGUAAAAAGGGGAAAGGGUGCUUCCAGUCAUGGGAGCAUGGCUACCUUUGAAAGGACCAGGCCAUGGCUGCCUGAGAAGUGACCUGGCUAUGGCUGCCAGAGAAAGGACAAGAUCAUCACUACCUGAGAAAGGACAAGGUCAGAGAUCCAUUUGGCUGUAGCUUACAGUGAAUGGAGCAAAGAUCCCUGGAUGACCCACUGACCUGAUCACCAGUGACCUUGAAUCUACUCACAUUCUUACCUUGUUCUACUUUCUCAUCAAAGAGCCGAAAUGGCUAAAAAGCUCAUGAAUUUAUGUGAGAAUCAUUCAUCAGAAGAGAUUCAAAUCUUGUCACUGUUUCUUCCUGGUCACCUACCUGUACCUCAUCCCCAGCACCCACCAGACCAGGUGAGCCACCCAAGCUGGAAGCCUGGGAGCACCUUCUGUCUUUGCAUUGCUAAAUUUCCUCAGGUUUCCUUAGACCUGAAGGUGAGCUGGAUCCUGUUGCUCUGGGACCUUGAUUGUUCUCCUUCCUAGAAUAUGCACACAGCUGCUCCUUCUCCCUGUGAGUGCUCCGACUACAGACUGUAGUCCUCCCUAGAAUAUACCCACAGCUGCUCCUUCUCCCUGUGAGUGCUCUGACUACAGACUGUAGUCCUCCCUAGAAUAUGCCCACAGCUGCUCCUUCUCCCUGUGAGUGCUCUGACUACAGACUGUAGUCCUCCCUAGAAUAUACCCACAGCUGCUCCUUCUCCCUGUGAGUGCUCUGACUACAGACUGUAGUCCUCCCUAGAAUAUGCCCACAGCUGCUCCUUCUCCCUAUGAGUGCUCCGACUACAGAGUGUAGUCCUCCCUAGAAUAUGCCCACAGCUGCUCCUUCUCCCUGUGAGUGCUCCGACUACAGACUCUAGUCCUCCCUAGAAUUUUUACUUAUCUGUUCCUCCCUGUGAAUGCUAACCGAAGAGAAAGGGACGUCUCUGGUUCUGGGUUCCGGUGCUGUUCUCUGACACUGAGACCAACAGAUUUUACUUGAUCUCAGGUCAGAAUUGAACCAAGCUAACUGGUUGCCUCUGAUAGCAAUGCACCUUGCCAUUGACACUGUCACCAACUUUGAACACUUGUGUUUGGACUGGCCCCAAUCAAGUCCUUGCAGUAUUUAAAAACUGAACAUAGCGACAAUUGCUCUGUCAAGCUCAUGGGAGCUAUGAGGGAAAAA